UUUUACAGUUUUCAUGGCUUGACAGUUAUCUCCACCUUUUCCUGCCCAUCAUCUCCACUCCUACAAACAUGGGUAGUGCUCAGUUAAGAAGUAAUGUUAUAUAAUGUACGCUAGCAAACAAAAAAUCCUAUUUUCAGCAUUCUUGAAGAACAAUUCGAGCAGUCAAUAGAUUCUCCAUCAACUCCCCAUUAUAAACUCCUCACCAUCACUACGGCUCUCUUCUUAUUUGGCGUCCACUUCACCGCCAUCGUCUUCAACUCCGUCAGACCAUCGUCCCCACCAUCACUACGGCUCUCUUCUUAGAGCAGUUAUUACAACCCCACCCACUACCGUGAUAUAAGAAACUACGCAUCAAACACCCGAGUUCUCCAGAAGAGAAAUAGCAAGACCGAGGUACAAUUUAAUUGCAUAUACAAUCAAUUAGGGCAUAUAUCUUGCUAUUGUCCUUGUAUGCCUGCUGUUUUCGCUAUGGUUGUCAUCUUCAGUAGUAUCGCAUUUAUGUGCAUUAAUCGAGGGUACAUACCCAUCCAUUAUGGCUGAUUGUUUAGGCCUUGAUCCUUCCAAGAUCAAUCAAAAUUGCAAACAACGAUCAUUCUGGCUCAGUUACAAGCAUUGCUAUGCACAAUUGGGGCAAUUUCUAUAGCAAUUCUUCACAUUUACAGGCAUCUUUUGAACUACACGGAACCGACAUACGACCCCUUUGUUGUAAGACUUAUUUUUUAGUCAGAUUUUGAUAGAAUAGAGUAACUUGACUUGAAUUUGUAGCUUUUAUGAAGUGCACGAUCCCUGUCAUAAGGGUUAGUCAUUGCAGAUUUUGGUUGUUAUUUCAUAUGCGUGCCGCGAUGGGUAACUAGUCAGAUGGGUAAGCUUGGUGCUAGUCACGUUGACCUGUAAUAUUUUUUUGUUCAAAAACACUAUUUUUCUUAUAAAUAUUUAGUAUGAAAUUUGUGUAUGAUUUUUUUUUUUUGGUAAUAAUUCAAUUUUUUAACAAAAUACCAAUUUGGACUCAUUUUGACCCAUCUGAACUGCUUCCACUUUAGGCUAUUUUUUGUUGGAAUAAUGACCCGAAUCAAUCAAGUUUAAAAGCAAGCGCAUUUAAUAAUGCAUUUGGUUUACAUAAAAAAAAUAGAAAAUGAGAUGCUAAGAAAGUUCAUGAGUUUCUAUUAUUAGGUGCCGUUGGUGCAGAAUGGUUGCAAGCAUUCAAAGGCUACAUAGAAUAUCCAGAGACAAUGUUGCUUUAAAGGCCAUUUCUUUAUUUCAUUUCUUUUAUCUUUGCUAUUAUUAUUUCAUUGACCCACAUAUGCUACCAGCAGGCUUUCGCUUGGAUAACAUGUUUCUUUCCGGCACCCGCAAAUUGUUAGUGCACUUGUGUUUUAAAUUUUUGUGUUAAAUUAUUUAGCAGGCACUUACACAGAUGACUGAUUAAUUCUUAACAUGAUGAGCAUAAAAGUCAAACAAGUCAACUCUUGGAUGUUAGUUAAGGCAGGUGCCACCUUUGCAUUAUGUUUGAUUAUCAUGAUCGAACCAAUUUCUUAGUCCAUUAGUCAAGGGAAGGAAUAAUAGCGCUAUUGGAGCAGCUGAUGAUGCUAUACACUUAUGUUAUCAAUCUGAAGAUCAUUCGGAUAACAUGCUUCUUGCUUCUGCAAGUGAUGACGAGACCUAUAAAAUUUGGAAGUGGGAAUCGAUGGCGUGAACACUAAAUCUGUAGCGUCGAUCUGCAAUUGUUCUUUCAUAACUGAUAGGUUGACAAGAACAGAGAACGUUUGAUAUCUAUCAAGAGGUUAACUAGACGUAAACCUAACCGUAUUAUUUUUAUAGAGACAGAGUAACUGAUGAUCAACUCUUAUUGAAUGAGACGGACAACAUUCUUAAGCUAGGAGAUUAAUUACUUUUCCCCCCUAAUAUGGCUUGUCAUGACCUGAACCGGUAUGACCCGUUACCUGACCCGUAUUACCAAUGUUAGUUAAUAUGCAAAUCUCUCAGUAACCAUCUUUGAAAAAUGCAUCCUGCUUCAAGUUGUUCCGACUGUCGUACUGGUCUAAAUUGUUUUUAUAGUUAA